rnacentral:rRNA from 1 species
CAGUGGCGAACGGGUGCGUAACACGUGGGCAAUCUGCCGAGAAGUGGGGGAUAGCUCGCCGAAAGGCGAAUUAAUACCGCAUGUGGUGAGGGACGACAUCUUCCUGAAUCCAAAGCCGGGGCAACCUGGCGCUUUUUGAGGAGCCCGCGGCCUAUCAGCUAGUUGGUGAGGUAACGGCCCACCAAGGCUAUGACGGGUAGCUGGUCUGAGAGGACGACCAGUCACACUGGAACUGAGACACGGUCCAGACACCUACGGGUGGCAGCAGUCGAGAAUUUUUCUCAAUGGGGGCAACCCUGAAGGAGCGACGCCGCGUGGAGGAUGAAGGCUUUCGGGUUGUAAACUCCUGUCAUUUGAGAACAAGGCACGCGUAUUAACUGUACGAGUGUUGAUAGUAUCAGAAGAGGAAGGGACGGCUAACUCUGUGCCAGCAGCCGCGGUAAUACAGAGGUCCCAAGCGUUGUUCGGAUUCAUUGGGCGUAAAGGGUGCGUAGGUGGCGCCGUAAGUCGGGUGUGAAAUUUCGGAGCUUAACUCCGAAACUGCAUUCGAUACUGCGGUGCUUGAGGACUGGAGAGGAGACUGGAAUUCAUGGUGUAGCAGUGAAAUGCGUAGAGAUCAUGAGGAAGACCAGUGGCGAAGGCGGGUCUCUGGACAGUUCC